UCCUCCGAGCGCCUCCCAGCUCACGGCGCCCCCCGAACCCGGCUCCAAGGGACUCGGUAUUCCCCAGCGCCGGCUCCGGGCAGUCCCGGAAGGGCUCAAGGGCUGGGCGACUGGCUGAUCGAGACCGUCCGGGUCCUGGCUCUCGGGUCACUUGCAGAGGCCUGAGCAGAGCGUUAAUGAGAAUGAUCCAGAAGGGAGGAGAAGCUAAUGGUGCAGUGGAGAGCAGAGUCCCUGAGCAGGUGAGCAGGGAUGGGGGCCCAUGCCCAUGUCGGAAGCGGGCGCCACACUGCUUCAUGAUGGAAGGCAGAACGCCUGGGCCAGGGUGCAGGCAGGUGUCACAGAGAAUGUCCUUCAUGACCACAUCCUAGUUCCCAGAACCUGCGAAUAUGCUACUUUACAUGGCAAAAGGGAGUUUGCAAAUGUGAUUAAGAAUUAAGCUAAAGACCUUCAUACAGGGAGAUUAUCCUGGAUUCUCCAGGGGGCUGGUGUCAUCACAAGGAUCUUUAAAAGUAGAAGUAAGGAGGAGACGUGACCAAGGAAGAAGGGUCAGAGAGACGCAAUGCUUCCGAGGAACUCUGAGGAUGGAGGAAGGGACCAUCCUCCAAGGAAUGUGGGUGGCCCCUGAAUGAAGAGGCAGGAGAAGGCACACAGCCCUGCCUGCCAACACCUUGAUCUUAGCCCAGUGAAUCCUGACAGACUUCUAACCCGUGGAACUGCAAGACAAUAAUCGUGUGUUUGAAGCCACCAAGAGUGUGGUCGUUGGUUUUGGCAGCCAUAGAAAAGUAAUACAGUGGGUCAGGGAUCCGGGUGGGAAGGAGACAGCCCUCAGAGAAGGGAUCCGGGUGGGAAGGAGACAGCCCUUAGAGAAGGGAUCCGGGUGGGAAGGAGACAGCCCUCAGAGAAGGGCUUGUGGGGAGCCUGGGGGUGCUGGGAGAGGAGCUGGUGUGAAACAACCAGCUGGCUGGGAAGCUGGUGGCCCCAGGCUGCACCGCAGGCAAGAGCAGCUCUCAGCCCCAGGAGGCCAACAGUGGUCACUGGUGUGGGAGCCAGUUACAUUUCCAAAAGAAGCUGCACUUGAGGAUUACUGUGAAGCUGACUUUAGGGCUGGAGGGGCACAGGGCCAGAGUUCUGGGUUAGUGGCUUCUGACUCUGGUCCUAGCAACGCUUUUACUCCAGGUCAGCCUCCUGCACCUUGCCUCCUGGGCUUCCCCUUGACCCCCUCCUAGGGCAUCUGGGAAGGUGUGAUGAGUGGACUUGAGAGGUGAAAGUUGUUCCUUUGAAGCAGUCCAUGGCUGAUGCUCCCUGAAUGGCAUGAGAGCUCAUUGGCAUGGCCUCUGGGUGCUACUGGAAACCAGGGCUUUCAGGAUGGCCCGUUAUCCAUCCGUGUCCUGGUGGGUACAUCCUACAUCAGCCUGUCUGAGGACAUUAAAAUAAUCCCAGGAAUGAUA
rnacentral:lncRNA from 10 species